rnacentral:tRNA from 1 species
GGAUUAGCACAGUGGCAGUGCAGCGGUUUUGUAAACCGAAGGUCGGGGGUUCAAAUCCCUCAUCCGG